rnacentral:tRNA from 1 species
UCUAAGAUGCCAGAAUAUGGCGCAGGAUUUAAGGUCUUGAUAUGGAGAAUUUCUUCUCUUAGAC